GUCUUGCUCUGUUGCCCAGGCUGGAGUGCAAUGGCAUGAUUUCAGCUCACUGCAACCUCUACCUCUCAGGCUCAAGCAAUUCUCCUGUCUCAGCUUCCACUGCGCCCGGCUAACAAAAUGUUUUCUUAAAGGCAAUAUUUGAAAAAAAGAAAAUACCUACACCUAAUGAGAACGUGAUCAUGACUCCAAUGGUGGCUAAAAAACAAAGGCUGCUGAUCAGCUAACUGAUGCAGUACUCAGGAAAGCUAUGAAAACCUAAGGAAGUGAGAAGCCCCAGGCCCAGCAUUCUUAAUUAUUUGGGAGUAAUAUUCACAUAUGUUAGGGGACAUUUCUGUAACUGGAAUGAAUACUCUUUAAUCUCCAAAGAGGUUUAAAUGCUUGGAAAUCUGCCACAGAAUCUCACUAUUUCUAAGAGACUAAUAAUCUGAGCAAUUCUGCACAAGAAAAACCUAGAGCCUCUAAAGAAGAAUUCCCAAGGGCUUUGCAAUUGUGGAAUUUAUUGCAAAUAAAAUAAUUUCAAUAGACUUUACAAAGGUAAAAGGACUGGGUUAUGACAUCCAGCAUUGUGACAUGGUAAAAGCAACAGACUUGAAAUCUGGCUCUGCCAUGCAUGGACCAGAAAACUCUGGACAAAUCCCUGAACUUCUCCUGGUUUCUCUCUUUUAUAAAAUGAAGGUCAUUUAGAAGGUUCAUUAAAUAGAGAAGGUAAAAGUUUGUUAUAAACUAUAAAGCACUUAGAAGAGCCCCUGGCAUAUUCUAAAUACUCACUAUUAUUAGCUCGACCUGGGAAAAGCAAAGCCUGCUUUAAAUAUGAAGCCCAUCUCAGAGGGGGAAAAAGUUCCCUGGAUAACAGCCAUGGUGUUGACACAACAGUGCCUGGCUCUGGCAAAAAUGCCUAUUACAUCAAAAAUUGAUAAACUAAAAUGUCAGCCCAUCUACCUCAACUCUUGACCAAUUCCAAGAAAAAGGAUUCUACACAGCAUUCUAUUUUGGCUUAAAUAAGUUGUCAGGCUGAGAGCUUUGAUCAAAGCUUGAUGCUAGCCAAUUUACUUACUUGCCUGACAUUAAGUCUAGUAUAAAUUCUUCUAACUAGACUCCUUGAAUUAAAUCUGGAAUACAGCUUACCAAUCUAAGUAGACAGGCCAAUUAAAGUAACAGUUUUAGAGAAAUGAUUCUUAAUAAGAGUAGGUUGGGGCCGGGCACAGUGGCUCACGCCUGUAAUCCCAGCACUUUGGGAGGCCGAGGUGGGCGGAUCACCUGAGGUCAGGAGUUCAAGACCACCCUGGCCAACAUGGUGAAACCCCGUCUCUAGUAAAAAUAACAAAAAUUAGCUGGGCAUGGUGGUGAGCAUCUGAAUCCCAGCUACUUGGGAGGCUGAGACAGGAGAACUGCUUUAACCCAGGAAGCGGAGGUUGCAGUGAGUGGAGAUUGCUCCAUGGCACUCCAGCCUAGGCAAAGUGCGGAGUCUCACAAACAAACAAAAAAAAAAAAAAAAAAAAGAGUAGGUGGAAUUUGGGCACAGUGGCCCAUACCUGUAAUCCUCACACUUUGGGAGGCCUAGGCGGGUGGAUCACCUGAGCUCAGGAGUUUGAGACCAGCGUGGCCAACAUGGUGAAACCCUGUCUCUACUAAAAAUACCAAAAACCUAGCUGGGUGUGGUGGCAGAUGCCUGUAUUCCCAGCUACUUGGGAGGCUG
rnacentral:lncRNA from 10 species